rnacentral:rRNA from 1 species
AUUGAACGCUGGCGGCAGGCCUAACACAUGCAAGUCGAACGGUAACAGGAAGAAGCUUGCUUCUUUGCUGACGAGUGGCGGACGGGUGAGUAAUGUCUGGGAAACUGCCUGAUGGAGGGGGAUAUCUACUGGAAACGGUAGCUAAUACCGCAUAACGUCGCAAGACCAAAGAGGGGGACCUUCGGGCCUCUUGCCAUCGGAUGUGCCCAGAUGGGAUUAGCUAGUAGGUGGGGUAACGGCUCACCUAGGCGACGAUCCCUAGCUGGUCUGAGAGGAUGACUAGCCACACUGGAACUGAGACACGGUCCAGACUCCUACGGGAGGCAGCAGUGGGGAAUAUUGCACAAUGGGCGCAAGCCUGAUGCAGCCAUGCCGCGUGUAUGAAGAAGGCCUUCGGGUUGUAAAGUACUUUCAGCGGGGAGGAAGGGAGUAAAGUUAAUACCUUUGCUCAUUGACGUUACCCGCAGAAGAAGCACCGGCUAACUCCGUG